rnacentral:rRNA from 1 species
UAGGGAAGUCUUCCACAAUGGGCGAAAGCCUGAUGGAGCAACGCCGCGUGUGUGAUGAAGGGUUUCGGCUCGUAAAACACUGUUGUAAGAGAAGAAUGACAUUGAGAGUAACUGUUCAAUGUGUGACGGUAUCUUACCAGAAAGGAACGGCUAAAUACGUGCCAG